GUGAGCCAGUGGAAUGGAGAGG
rnacentral:miRNA from 1 species